rnacentral:misc_RNA from 1 species
ACCACUGCCACCCCUGCCAUC